rnacentral:piRNA from 1 species
UCUCAGCCACAAUUCUGGAAUAACAGGA